rnacentral:rRNA from 1 species
CCUACGGGGGGCUGCAGUGGGGAAUAUUGCGCAAUGGGCGAAAGCCUGACGCAGCGACGCCGCGUGGGUGAUGAAGGCCUUCGGGUCGUAAAGCCCUGUCGAGAGGGAAGAAACCUUCCGGACCUAAUACGUCCGGGCAUUGACGGUACCUCUUAAGGAAGCACCGGCUAACUCCGUGCCAGCAGCCGCGGUAAUACGGAGGGUGCCAGCGUUGUGCGGAAUCACUGGGCGUAAAUGGCGAGUAGGCGGUGAAAUCCCCUCGCUCAACGAGGGAACUGCGUCGGAUACUGGCAGACUCGAGUACCGGAGAGGAAGGUGGAAUUCCCGGUGUAGCGGUGAAAUGCGUAGAUAUCGGGAGGAACAUCGGUGGCGAAGGCGGCCUUCUGGACGGAUACUGACGCUGAGACGCGAAAGCGUGGGGAGCAAACAGGAUUAGAUACCCUAGUAGUC